rnacentral:rRNA from 1 species
CAGUGGGGAAUCUUAGACAAUGGGCGCAAGCCUGAUCUAGCCAUGCCGCGUGAGUGAUGAAGGCCUUAGGGUCGUAAAGCUCUUUCGCCAGGGAUGAUAAUGACAGUACCUGGUAAAGAAACCCCGGCUAACUCCGUGCCAGCAGCCGCGGUAAUACGGAGGGGGUUAGCGUUGUUCGGAAUUACUGGGCGUAAAGCGUACGUAGGCGGAUCAGAAAGUUAGGGGUGAAAUCCCGAGGCUCAACCUCGGAACUGCCUCUAAAACUCCUGGUCUUGAGUUCGAGAGAGGUGAGUGGAAUUCCAAGUGUAGAGGUGAAAUUCGUAGAUAUUUGGAGGAACACCAGUGGCGAAGGCGGCUCACUGGCUCGAUACUGACGCUGAGGUACGAAAGUGUGGGGAGCAAACAGGAUUAGAUACCCUGGUAGUCCACACCGUAAACGAUGAAUGCCAGUCGUCGGGUAGCAUGCUAUUCGGUGACACACCUAACGGAUUAAGCAUUCC